rnacentral:misc_RNA from 1 species
CUCCAAAACCCACCUUCUUAUAUGCAGAGUUCCCUUCACCUUUUGCCCAAUAUAUAGGGAGGCUUAAUGGCUUCUAUCUCCAUGUACCCACCACACCAAGCUUUGCAAACAAAAGGCUUCAAAGGAGAAGUAGACAUGGCGUGAUAUUGGUACGGCUCAUCUUCUAAUUAAUAGCUGUAUGGAUCGAUCAAGAAGUUUGCAUGAUGCAUCUGAUCUUGUUGAUGGAAGAAGACGAGCCGAAUCAAUAUCACUCUUGUAUGCUUCUUUCUGUUAUCUUUUUUAUUUUCUUGGUCUGCAGAUAAUUAAUGUUUUUUCUAAAGAGAUUAUUGAAGCCUGCAUUUGGAGCUGCUGUUUUUGCUUGAUUCAAGGUACGCAUCUGCAGAGACCUAGAUUCAUGUAGAGAGAGAGGGAGAGACAUUUUCUUGCAAAUUUUCCAUUAUUUUUUUAAUCAUGCAAUGUUUGACUGGAGAACCAGUCAGAAUAUAUAGAUUCUGAAAGAUGGAUGUGGAAAAUACCUGUUACACUUGUUUUGUUUGUUCUAAGUUGUCCAUAACUGAAAAAGAAUUGAUUUUUCUUCAAGAUCCAUUUGUCUCUAUCAAGUUAUAUUUUUCCAAGAAAGUAGCAUACCUUGUAUCUUUCUGGAUCUACCCAUUUCAUAAGAUUGAUCUGGGUUCAAAAAUCUGCAAAUUUGUUCUACCAUUCUAUGGGAUUACAAAGUACUCCCAGAUUUGAGAAGGGCAGCUAAUAAAAUACAGAAUUUUUUUAAUGAGCUUUUUGAGCUUGUUCUAUAUUGAUAAAGGUCUGAAAUAUAUGAACUGUAAGAUUCAUUCAAGACUUCGGGAAAUCUUUCAUCUCAAGCUGCAGAUUUCGACUAAUCUAGAUGAGGGUAUUACAGAUUUACACAUCCUUGAAUAUUUUGAACUGUAUCAUAUAUACGUGUAUAUAUAUAUAGAUGAGGGUAUUACAGAUUUACACAUCCUUGAAUAUUUUGAACUGUAUCAUAUAUACGUGUAUAUAUAUA